GAGUAGCCGUGUGAAGGGAAACUUUCAUGCACGGUUUCGGAUGGGAGGUGAGGCGCAGCAAUGCUCCUCAUCGACCCUAAC
rnacentral:ncRNA from 1 species